GCUGGGUCCGGGUCCCUGACGCCGUCUGAGUUUGGGCCUCUUGAGUGAGAGGCAGCGAGGAGCCUAGCGGUGGGCAUUGAAUUUCACUCCCUGCGCACUGAACGUUGCUUUAUUCAUUGGUUAAUUUUCCUAACAGCGUUGUAAACCCAGGCCGGGAUGUCCUGAGCGUUCUGGCAGAGGCCCGUGCAGCCUCGGCCCCUUCCGGUCCGCGCUAGCCUGGCCUUUGCCCUGAGCUCCCUCAGCUUCGCAAGAUGAGCUUCCCAGACGGGGCCGGGGCCUGGCUCUGAGGGAAAGGCGUUCCCGCCAGGUCUGGGGCCGCCUUCCC
rnacentral:lncRNA from 1 species